rnacentral:rRNA from 1 species
ACACCCUACGGGAGGCAGCAGUGGGGAAUAUUGGACAAUGGGCGCAAGCCUGAUCCAGCCAUGCCGCGUGAGUGAUGAAGGCCCUAGGGUUGUAAAGCUCUUUCACCGGUGAAGAUAAUGACGGUAACCGGAGAAGAAGCCCCGGCUAACUUCGUGCCAGCAGCCGCGGUAAUACGAAGGGGGCUAGCGUUGUUCGGAUUUACUGGGCGUAAAGCGCACGUAGGCGGACUAUUAAGUCAGGGGUGAAAUCCCGGGGCUCAACCCCGGAACUGCCUUUGAUACUGGUAGUCUUGAGUUCGAGAGAGGUGAGUGGAAUUCCGAGUGGAGAGGUGAAAUUCGUAGAGAUUCGGGGGAACACCAGUGGCGAAGGCGGCUCACUGGCUCGAUACUGACGCUGAGGUGCGAAAGCGUGGGGAGCAAACAGGAUUAGAUACCCGUGUAGUCCC